rnacentral:rRNA from 1 species
GUAGUCCAUGCUGUAAACGAUGGAUACUAGGUGUAGGAGGUAUCGAUCCCUUCUGUGCCGGAGUAAACACAAUAAGUAUCCCACCUGGGGAGUACGCACGCAAGUGUGAAACUCAAAGGAAUUGACGGGGGCCCGCACAAGCAGUGGAGUAUGUGGUUUAAUUCGAAGCAACGCGAAGAACCUUACCUGGUCUUGACAUCCCGACGACCGGCGCAGAGAUGCGUCUUUUCUUCGGAACGUUGGUGACAGGUGGUGCAUGGUUGUCGUCAGCUCGUGUCGUGAGAUGUUGGGUUAAGUCCCGCAACGAGCGCAACCCCUAUUGUCAGUUGCCAUCAUUAAGUUGAGCACUC